rnacentral:misc_RNA from 1 species
GUUGUCUUACAAUUUUUAACAUAUCCCACCUUGCUUUGAUUUUAUGCAUGAAUUCAAUCUAGCAUGAAUCACAAGAUUGCAAGAUUGUACUAGUUCACUCAUGACUUCCAAAGCACCAAUACUUGUACUUCGGACUAACAUUGUCUAAUAUUCCUAUACAAAACAGCACUGGUAAAAGUGUCUCAUUCUUUUGCAUCCAAAAGUGACCCUAUAGUUAUAUUACCACUCAAGGUCCAUAAUUGUGAGAAAAUGGAGGAAAAUAGAGCAUGAAGUUAUCUGUAGAAGCCUAAGAACCU